GGUUGAUCCUGCCAGUAGUCAUACGCUUGUCUCAAAGAUUAAGCCAUGCAUGUCUAAGUAUAAACGACUCUAUACUGUGAAACUGCGAAUGGCUCAUUAAAUCAGUUUUAGUUUAUUUGAUGGUUCAUUACUACUUGGAUAACCGUAGUAAUUCUAGAGCUAAUACAUGCGUCAAAUCCCGACUUCUGGAAGGGAUGUAUUUAUUAGAUGGAAACCAAUGCGGGGCAACCCGGAGUGAUGGUGAAUCAUGAUAACUGUGCGGAUCGCAUGCUUCGGCGGCGAUGCAUCAUUCA
rnacentral:rRNA from 1 species